CAUGAAAGAAGUUUAAAAGGACGGCGUAAGCUGUCGCUAAAAGGAUGGACCUGCGAUGCAUUAGCUAGUUGGUAAGGUAACGGCUUACCAAGGCGAUGAUGCAUAGCCGAGUUGAGAGACUGAUCGGCCACAUUGGGACUGAGACACGGCCCAAACUCCUACGGGAGGCAGCAGUAGGGAAUCUUCCACAAUGGACGCAAGUCUGAUGGAGCAACGCCGCGUGAGUGAAGAAGGUUUUCGGAUCGUAAAGCUCUGUUGUUGGUGAAGAAGGAUAGAGGUAGUAACUGGCCUUUAUUUGACGGCAAUCAACCAGAAAGUCACGGGCUAACUACGUGCCAGCAGCCGCGGUAAAU
rnacentral:rRNA from 1 species